AUUGAACGCUGGCGGCAGGCCUAACACAUGCAAGUCGAGCGGAUGAGUGGAGCUUGCUCCAUGAUUCAGCGGCGGACGGGUGAGUAAUGCCUAGGAAUCUGCCUGGUAGUGGGGGACAACGUUUCGAAAGGAACGCUAAUACCGCAUACGUCCUACGGGAGAAAGUGGGGGAUCUUCGGACCUCACGCUAUCAGAUGAGCCUAGGUCGGAUUAGCUAGUUGGUGAGGUAAAGGCUCACCAAAGCGACGAUCCGUAACUGGUCUGAGAGGAUGAUCAGUGACACUGGAACUGAGACACGGUCCAGAAUCCUACGGGAGGCAGCAGUGGGGAAUAUUGGACAAUGGGCGAAAGCCUGAUCCAGCCAUGCCGCGUGUGUGAAGAAGGUCUUCGGAUUGUAAAGCACUUUAAGUUGGGAGGAAGGGCAGUAAGUUAAUACCUUGCUGUUUUGACGUUACCGACAGAAUAAGCACCGGCUAACUUCGUGCCAGCAGCCGCGGUAAAAC
rnacentral:rRNA from 1 species